GAUGAAGAACAUAGCGAAAUGCGAUAAGUAGUGUGAAUUGCAGAAUUCAGUGAAUCAUCGAAUCUUUGAACGCACAUUGCGCCCUUUGGUAUUCCAAAGGGCAUGCCUGUUCGAGCGUCAUUUGUACCCUCAAGCUUUGCUUGGUGUUGGGCGUCUUGUCUCUAGCUUUGCUGGAGACUCGCCUUAAAGUAAUUGGCAGCCGGCCUACUGGUUUCGGAGCGCAGCACAAGUCGCACUCUCUAUCAGCAAAGGUCUAGCAUCCAUUAAGCCUUUUUUUCAACUUUUGACCUCGGAUCAGGUAGGGAUACCCGCUGAACUUAAGCAUAUCAAUAAGCGGAGGA
rnacentral:misc_RNA from 1 species